CACGUAGGGGGCGAGCGUUGUCCGGAUUUAUUGGGCGUAAAGAGCUCGUAGGCGGCUAAGUAAGUCGGGUGUGAAAACUCCAGGCUCAACCUGGAGACGCCACCCGAUACUGCUUUGGCUAGAGUCCGGUAGGGGAGCAUGGAAUUCCUGGUGUAGCGGUGAAAUGCGCAGAUAUCAGGAGGAACACCAGUGGCGAAGGCGGUGCUCUGGGCCGGAACUGACGCUGAGGAGCGAAAGCAUGGGGAGCGAACAGG
rnacentral:rRNA from 1 species